rnacentral:rRNA from 1 species
AUACGGAGGGUGCAAGCGUUAUCCGGAUUCAUUGGGUUUAAAGGGUGCGCAGGCGGAAUGAUAAGUCAGUGGUGAAAUCCUACAGCUUAACUGUAGAACUGCCAUUGAUACUGUCAUUCUUGAGUACACUUGAAGUGGGCGGAAUGUAUCAUGUAGCGGUGAAAUGCAUAGAUAUGAUACAGAACUCCGAUAGCGAAGGCAGCUCACUAAAUUGUAACUGACGCUCAGGCACGAAAGCGUGGGGAGCAAACAGGAUUAGAAACCCCAGUAGUCC